GUGGGGAAUCUUGGACAAUGGGGGAAACCCUGAUCCAGCCAUGCCGCGUGAGUGAUGAAGGCCUUCGGGUUGUAAAACUCUUUUACCAGGGAAGAUAAUGACUGUACCUGGAGAAUAAGCCCCGGCUAACUUCGUGCCAGCAGCCGCGGUAAUACGAAGGGGGCUAGCGUUGUUCGGAAUUACUGGGCGUAAAGCGCGCGCAGGCGGUUCUUCAAGUCAGGGGUGAAAGCCCAGAGCUCAACUCUGGAAUUGCCCUUGAAACUGUAGAACUUGAGUACGAGAGAGGUGAGUGGAAUUCCCAGUGUAGAGGUGAAAUUCGUAGAUAUUGGGAAGAACACCGGUGGCGAAGGCGGCUCACUGGCUCGUUACUGACGCUCAGGCGCGACAGCGUGGGGAUCAAACAGGAUUAGAUACCCCUGUAGUCC
rnacentral:rRNA from 1 species